UACGAAGGGGGCUAGCGUUGCUCGGAAUCACUGGGCGUAAAGCGCACGUAGGCGGCUUUUUAAGUCAGGGGUGAAAUCCUGGAGCUCAACUCCAGAACUGCCUUUGAUACUGGGAAGCUUGAGUCCGGGAGAGGUGAGUGGAACUCCGAGUGUAGAGGUGAAAUUCGUAGAUAUUCGGAAGAACACCAGUGGCGAAGGCGGCUCACUGGCCCGGUACUGACGCUCAGGUGCGCAAGCGUGGGGAGCAAACAGG
rnacentral:rRNA from 1 species